AGAAUUGGUAAGAGAAGGGUGACCUCAUUUCGCUUCUUGCAUUCUGUGGAUCUUCACUCUCCUUCUCUCUGAUCCAGCACAGAUCAACUCUUUGAUGGGAGUAAAUACUAUGGAAGAGCAUACACAGAUGUGUAGCUAGCUUUCGAUCCCUUUCACCAAGUAACUACAGAAUCAGCCAUUUACUCCUGCCUAAUAAAUUAAGAGACAAGGUGAAAGAGUAAGAGAAGAACAGCCUGCCAAGAUGUCCUGGGAAGAGAAUGCUCUAGUCAGGAGGAAGCACCUUCAUUACAAGCAUCAUUACCUCUGGCAUGCAUGCCUUCAGUAAACGUUUAAUCUGGAAAAAAGAAUGCAGAAAUGGCUUUCAUUUUGUAAGAAAGAAGAGGAGAAGCCAAAGAAAGGAGGAAAGUAUUGCAGCUCAAGUCUUGCAAACAUUUAUGUUUUUUUUCUUACGUCAGACAUGGCCUCCUUUCCUCCUGCAUCUGCGAAAAUUUUCAGAUAGAUCCUAA
ensembl:lncRNA